rfam:Camelus ferus unplaced genomic scaffold scaffold82, whole genome shotgun sequence.
GAGGGUAUAGCUCAAGUGAUAGAGUGCAUGCUUAGCAUGCAUGAGGUCCUAGGUUCAAUCCCCAGUACCUCCU